GCAUUGGGGGUUCAAUGGUAGAAUUCUCGCUUGCCACGCGGCAGGCCCAGAUUCGAUUCCCAGCCAAUGCA